UGAUUUUAGCAGAAUUGAAUUCCCAGGCAUACAGGCCUUCAUGGUCCAUUCAAGCUCAUCCAAAUGCUUUGAGUUUACUUGAAAGUAAAUACAGUUGAAAAAUGAAUGGGACACAUUACCUCUGAGAAGAAGAACUCAAGCCAUAUCCAUUCACCCAAGCUGAGUGUCUAAAGGGGAUGAUGAUGGAAGUUGUAGCCUGAUGCUUCUGGAAGACACUGGAAUUGGGAAGGAUGGACGUUUUAGGCAAGCCCAACAUCAAGGGAAGAUUUCCCAUCUGUGAAUGAACCAUUACAAAAUUAGUACCUUAAGGACAAAUUCACCUUGUCUUCCGCUUCUAAUGUUUUGUCUGUGCUGGUUAAUGAGCUCAACGUAGUACAGUAAAUUUGCUGAGGAAUCAAAAAGUAUUUAAAAAAGGGUUGUGGUGCUGCCUUAAUGAAAAAGAAUCGCGUGGCAUAAAUUAAGUUGGAAGAGAAUAAGCGCUUUGGGUAGGAUUCUGAUGGAUUUUAUGACGCCUUUCAGUUCCGCUUUGCAGACCUAAUCGAGAAAUCUGUGCCGCGUCAAUUUAACAAAUCCUUGAGAGCGAAGGCAGGUUGGUCAAAAAGGAAUGUCAAAUGAAUCUCCAGAAAUUCUGGCUUCCAAGAUCAAAUCACCACGGAUCCUAAAUCUACCACUCCUUUAUUCUACGACAUCCCUGACUUAACUGACCCAGGAAAAGAUGCCACCACAACAAAUUUCUCUUUGCAUCUCUUCACCCUCCAGCCCUGGCAAAUGUCUAUGAAAAACAGAUAAGAGGGUUUCUCUUGCACCAGAGGGCACAUCCUGCACAAAUGCCUUUGGCAUUAAUGAAAUCCAGAAGAGGUGGUUUUUAUGUUUUGUAUUCCAGCUCCACUUUCUUUUGAUAGCAGCUGGUGACAGAAAUGCUUCUGGCCCAGUUUUCUGGGGGCAUUUCCAAUAUAUUUCUUAGCUGUUGUAGAUUAUAUGCCUAUCUGAUGGUGGUUUCUCUGAAAAUUGCCUCAAAGACCAAUAGAGAACCCAAGAUGUUUGAGAAGCACCAUCUUACUGACCCUUUCCAUUUACUAUCCCAGAAAACCUCUGAGCUUUUAGCAAAACUGCAGAUAAUUGAGAGUAACAGAGAAAUAAUUUUACUCUAAUGUAUAGAACUAAUUACAGAAUAAUAGAUGAUACUCCAUGUUUAAAUGAGUCUUCGCAUGAAUCAGUGGUAUAAAAUUAAAAUGUGUCCAAACUCUGGAAAAAUUUGCCCACACUGCAACACUAAAUGGGAUAGUAUUGGAUUUCUGAGGAGCCGUCUUGCCCUGGUUAUAUCAGCCUGCCCUGGUCAAGGAAUUUCAACUGGUAGGAUCUAGGAAGAGGG